CGAAUGCUUAUCCAAGUGUAUAGACAACUUCAGCUUUGGGUGAUGCAUGCUGAAAUUGUGUUAGCUCCACCAAUUUUUUAAUUGUUGUAGAUUCUUUAUGCAAUCUCGAGGGCUUGAUGAGUAUUCUUUUCAGUAUGGGAUAGUUGGCUAGUAAAAUCUUGAUAAGUUGCAUCACAGGUUUUGAGCCUGUAGAAUUUGCUACGUUUAACUUUUCUGACGUGAUUAAAUGUGACAUCAAUAAAUUCUUGCACUUUAAGAUUAUCAUGGUAAUCUACCACCUCAGGAAUAUUAACAAAGACCCAUCUAGUCUGUAGACUUGGACGAGUAUAAAAAGACAGGAUUUUAAGUUUAUGAAUACUAAAUGACAAGCCUUUUUUGCUUAGUGGAUUCAAGAUACAUUAUUUAUACAUGUUAACUAAAUUUCUUAAUAUAACAAACUUUAAGCGGAAUCUAUUGAAUUUUGUUGAACCCAUAACUUCAAAUAUUGUAACUUCACCCCUGGUCUUGAAGCUUCCGACACGGAUAUGACCAAGUAGAAAAUUAGCAUACAGCUAUCCAUAACAUUAGGCAAAAUACAAUGUUAUACUACUGCAUCAAUAGUCGUAUUUCUAUUCGCUUCAAAAUCAAAAACAUUGUUUUACGGUAGGGUCAACUGGACAUUAAACUUGACAUGGAAAAAGCUUACGACAUGCAACUGGACUGUCUUAAUUGCUGUUAUGAGAAGGUUUGGGUUUGCAGAAAAAAGGAUAGAGAUCUUCUUUGGAGAUCUAUCUCAAAGUUUGGUACUCAUUGUCGAUAAAUGGUGUCAAGAGAUGUUUUUUUUUUCAUUUUCUACUAGAGUAGUUAAACAAGGGGUUGUGGUACUAUUAUCAAAACUGUGCAACCAGCUAUCAUUUAUUAAUCAAUAUAAAGGGUCCGUCCUCCGGUGAUGGUCUUGAUAUUGGUAAUGAUGUUGAGUUGGGUAAUCCGUUCAUUCUACGAUGUGGUCCAUGAUUCAGUUGAGCUAGAGUUGGUGAAAAUAGGUGGAUUGACCGGAUUCAGGCUAGGGUUGUAAUUCUCUGAGUUGCUCUAGUUUUGGCUAUCAAUAGUACUGUUUGCUGCCUUGAUGAGUUCUUGGUUAUGUCUUGAUGCAUUAUGCCCUUUGGCAGAUGAUGUGAUGCUCUUCUCUUCUGCCAACGAAAAAUCUCUAGAAGCUAUUACAGGGUCCUUGUUCCAAUAUUGUAUUUGAGGUUGCUAUAAAGAAUUCAAAUUUUGAUACUAUGAGGAGAUUGUUGGAUGAUUGUAUUAUUGUGUAUGUUUGAUAAUAAGCGAAGAUGUCCCCCGUCUGCGCUUGAGCAUUUCCACCUGGAUAACGAUACUAGCUGAAUUUGAUGGAGUUGAAUUAAAAA